UACGUAGGGUGCGAGCGUUGUCCGGAAUUAUUGGGCGGAAAGGGCUCGUAGGCGGUUUGUCGCGUCGGGAGUGAAAACCUUGGGCUUAACUCAGGGCUUGCUUUCGAUACGGGCAGACUAGAGGUAUGCAGGGGAGAACGGAAUUCCUGGUGUAGCGGUGAAAUGCGUAGAUACCAGGAGGAACACCGGUGGCGAAGGCGGUUUCCUGGCCGAGUACUGACGCUGAGGCACGAAAGCGUGGGGAGCGAACGGG
rnacentral:rRNA from 1 species